rnacentral:lncRNA from 1 species
UCCAAUGCUACCUUAUUUAUUUUGUUGUUCAAAUUGCUCCAGAUUUAGCCAUUGGAAGCUCUUUCAGGUUGGCGUCUAUGUCUUUUGAUGAACUCUCAUCAUUUUGCUUUUUGAGUACUUGCUUGCUUUCUAUUACUGUAAGAUGCCCUAGGCUCGUUUUGUAUUUCCCUUACCCCAGCCCAAGAAUAACCUUAUAUUUCCAAAUAUUACAUUUGAUUUGCAGUUUGUCCCAGAUUUACCUGGUGGGAACCUCUUCAAACUAGUUGGGCAAGAUUCACCCUAAGCUAACAUCUGCUGCCAAUCUUCCUCCUUUUUUCUUCCCUUUACUACCUCCAAAGCCCCAGUACAACUUACAUAGUUGUAAGUUCUUCUGGUUCUUCUAUGUGAGCCACCGCCAUAGCAUGGCUACUGACAGACAAUCGGUGUGGUUCCACACCAGGGAACUGAACCUUGGCUGCUGAAGUAGACAUGCAGAGCUUUAACCACUAGGCCAUCAGGGCUGGCUCUAGAAUUUUAUUCUUAGGCCUGAAAGAUGAGCUAGGAUGCAACGGAUUCUAAAAAGUACCUUUUUGAGCUUUGGUGGUCCUGAAAACUAAGAGUUAUCUUAUUGUAAAUAUGAACUUGACCUUAGACUUUUAUUAUAAUUUAUUAUUGAAGCAAAGACUUUGAAAAAUACAUACAGUUAUUUAUAUCAUCUUUAAUCUAUGUUUCCAUAUCUGUGCUUUUACUGAAAAGGAGAAAAGCUUCAAAUAGCAUGUUUCCCUCCCAUCAACACUUAGACCAAUGUUUUUCAAACAUUUAAAUAACCCUUAUCACUGCAAAGUACUCUGUUUUAUUUGUUACUACUUUGCUUUAGUUUUUAAAAUGUUGAUAAUGAUCCACUGAAUUGAUUCCAUGAUCCAACAAUGAUAGGACUAGCAGUUUAAAAAAGCACAAAGUAGGGGCUGGCCCCUUGGCUGAGUGGUUAAGUUCGUGCUCUGCUUCAGUGGCCCAGGGUUUCAGUGGUUUGGAUCCUGGUCGUGGACAUGGCACUGCUCAUCAGGCCAGGCUGAGGCGGCAUCCCACAUGCCACAACUAGAAGGGCCCACAACUAAAAUAUGCAACUAUGUACUGGGGGUCUUUGGGGAAAAGAAGG